rfam:Cronobacter sp. DJ34 Bact_A5_1, whole genome shotgun sequence.
AACGUUGAAGACGACGACGUUGAUAGGCCGGGUGUGUAAGCGCAGCGAUGCGUUGAGCUAACCGGUACUAAUGAACCGUGAGGCUUAACCUU